AAUCUUCUGUUAUUUCUCUUCAUGUUUUAAAGAUAUCAUCUCCUUCCUCUAUGUUCUCCUCUGUUCUUCAUAAUCUUCGCUCUCACCACUUUCUUCAUGGUUACCACUUCUGUCGCUGUCGUGAAGGAAGAACCGCUGCUGUCUCCGUCAUUUAAGAAAAAACGCCUCUGUGCUUGAGGAAGCAUCGGCUCGUAGCAGUGGAGGCAACCGACCUUCUUCUUAAGAUUUAGUCCAUCUUCCUCGCCGUCACGUUUUGCUCUCUGUCCAAGACUCACCGGAGAUGAAGAUUCGUACCACUCUAGCUUCUCACCUCUCUAACUCGACGGUGGUGGGAUUUGAGAGAAGCGGAUUUGGAAGUAUAUGCGACGGCUGGAAGUAGAAGCAUCGAUGGUGGCUAAAGCGUCGAAGGUGAAGCAUCGAUGGUGGCUGAAGCGUUGAGAGUACGGUGGAGAAAGAUGACUGGAGGAGGACGACGGCGGCGGCUUAGAUUUAGGCUUUUCUUGUAUUUUGUUUGUAUUUAUGUUUAUAUAUUUACAUAUUUGUUUUAAACAAAAAAAACAUAUUUGUUUUUAUUAAUUAUAUCAAAUUGUUUUUUUGUUUAAA